AUGUCGAAGGACGGCGGGCCAACGGUCGCCGUGAAGCUGUUCAUCGACAAGGAGAAGAGAAAGGUACUGUUUGCAGAAUCUGACAAGGACUUCGUCGACAUCCUCUUCAGCUUCCUCACCCUGCCUCUCGGCACCAUUGUCCGUCUCUUCGACAAGCAGUCGCAGGUAGGAUGCCUCGACGAGCUGUACAAGAGCGUGGAGAGUCUCGGUGAAGAUCACUUCCGAACCAAGGCGUGCAAGGGGAUGCUUCUUAACCCCCUCAAUGCUUCAGCAACUCAUUGCAAUCGGCUUAAAGUGAAAGUUGCCAACACAAAUCCUAUGUAUCGCUGCAAAAAUGCUAGUUGCGGUGUUUCAGCAUUUAGCUCCGUCCCUGAUGCUAUUUGCAGUUGUGGAUAUGUUGUUAAGUACAUUAGGGAACGGACAAACACAAAUUUUCAUUCUAUAUUUUCAGACAUCAUUAAGAUUGGAGUUUUUGUCAUUGGUGUGCCCAAGUUCAUAAUAACUGAUGACCUUGAAGUUGCUCCUGCUUCCACAAGGGUCAUGUUUUCCCUGAUUGAGAAAUAUGGGAUACCCGAAAAAGAGAAUGUCCAGGAGAAGGUGCUCCAACUCAAUUCCGCCAAAAUGACUAGUUUGCUUAGGAGAGCGCUGCUGACGAAGCAAGUCCUAACUGGACUUUAUUUUGAUGCUGCUAUCCCGCCGAAUGCUACAGACAUGUGUCUGCUCCCUGAAAAUAUGUUGGCAAAACAGGCACUUGAGGCCGAUCCCAAUUUCAAAGCCAUCAACGUAAGGCUUGUACAUGCAAAGGAUGAUACAGUGUUAUAUGCUGAAGUUGGGCAAGAUUUUGUCGAUCUCAUCUUUGGACUACUUAGUGUUCCACUUGGAUCCGUACUGAAGACUUUCAGCGAGUUACCCCAAAUCGGUUGUGUUGAUAGUAUCUACAAGAGUGUAACUGCAAGUGUGAAACAGGAAUGUCAAAGCUUACUUCUAUCCCCAAUGCUAGGGCCUUUCUUUGGUUGCAGCAGUAAUGUGAUGCAAGUAGAAGAAUUAGCUUGUCGACCACUUAUGAUUGGAUCCACUAGCUGUUUUGAGUUGAAUCCCAAAUCCGGUUCUGAUAGAGCCUAUAUCAAGGGUGGGCCCAUGAACUUCAUGGUGACAGAUGAUCUCCGCAUCGGUCCAUUCUGCCUGAUCAAUGCCCUCGAGAUCGUGUGUGCAUCCAAGGUUCCAAAGGACAAGCUUGUGGAGAAAGAACUCACGCUCAACAAAACCCAGGUUCUGAAGCUUGUGGGAGCUGCAUUUGGGACGAGCAAAGCACUCAGCAGCUUGCUCAUGCCUUCCAAGAAGUAG
rnacentral:rRNA from 1 species